rnacentral:rRNA from 1 species
AUGAAUAUUCUAGCCUGGAACUGUCGAGGAUUGGGGUUGGACUCGACAGUUGGCGAACUCCGAGACCUGAUACAGUCCAACAACCCAGUGGUGGUGUUUUUAUCUGAGACCAAGAAGACGGCUAGAGCUAUGGAACGACUCAAGUGGAGUCUUGGGUUCAGAUCGGGUGUGGCUGUUGAUUGUCAAGGCUUAAGCGGUGGUUUGGCUCUGUGGUGGCGAGACACUGUGACUGUGUUUGUUCGGCUGUGGUGCCAAUACUUUAUUGAUGCAGAAGUCUUUUUCGAUGGGAUUCCCUAUAGAUUCACUGGUUUCUAUGGGGAACGACGAAUGGAGCUCUGA